rnacentral:rRNA from 1 species
CCGAAUGGCGCCUACUCUUCGGCCACUGCAUAUGCCGUGCAGUUCGAGGGGUGUACUCGCCUCGCCGGUCAGCGACACAUAUGGGCGGCUGAUGCUCCGCUAAAAUGCAGAAUUUUCGCUUGGCUUGCGAUCCUAGGAAAAUGUCUUACAGCGGAUAACCUGCAGAAAAGAGGAUGGCCGCACGACCCAAUUUGUUCUCUCUGCCGGGCGGCGGACGAGUGUGUUGAUCACCUCCUAGCACGCUGCUCCUACACCCAAGCUCUAUGGAGUCUGAUGCUCAACCGCUGCAACCUCCCCACCACUCUUGCGCCGACGGCGGCGACAACCAGCCUUGCUGACUGGUGGGAGUCCAACGUGGUGAACGCUAACCUGACCAACUCAAAGGGCUGGGGCGGUCUGGUAGUGGCAAUCUGGUGGUUCACGUGGUGCGAGAGGAAUGCCCGGAUUUUCCAAAGCAAGGCGUCCACCGUCAGUGCGGUCUUCAACUUGAUGAUUGAUGAAUUUAGGAUAUGG